GUAGGUGGCAAGCGUUGUCCGGAAUUAUUGGGCGUAAAGCGCGCGCAGGUGGUUCUUUAAGUCUGAUGUGAAAGCCCCCGGGCUCAACCGGGGAGGGUCAUUGGAAACUGGGGAACUUGAGUGCAGGAGAGGAAAGUGGAAUUCCACGUGUAGCGGUGAAAUGCGUAGAUAUGUGGAGGAACUCCAGUGGCGAAGGCGACUUUCUGGCCUGUAACUGACACUGAGGCGCGAAAGCGUGGGGAGCAAACAGGAUUAGAUACCCUGGUAGUCCACGCCGUAAACGAUGAGUGCUAAGUGUUGGGGGGUUUCCGCCCCUCAGUGCUGCAGCUAACGCAUUAAGCACUCCGCCUGGGUAGUACGGUCGCAAAGACUG
rnacentral:rRNA from 1 species